AGCAGCCGCGGUAAUUCCAGCUCCAAUAGCGUAUAUUAAAGUUGUUGCAGUUAAAAAGCUCGUAGUUGAAUUUCGGGAUCAGUUGGUCGGUCGUGCCUCGGUACGUACUGGUCAAAUUGAUUCCUACCUUCUGACGAACCACGAUGUCAUUAAUUUGGUGUCGCGGGAAAUCAGGACUGUUACUUUGAAAAAAUUAGAGUGUUUAAAGCAGGCUCGCGCUUGAAUACAUUAGCAUGGAAUAAUGAAAUAGGACGUUUGAUUCUAUUUUGUUGGUUUCUAGGAUCGACGUAAUGAUUAAUAGGGAUAGUUGGGGGCAUUAGUAUUCAAUUGUCAGAGGUGAAAUUCUUGGAUUUAUUGAAGACUAACUACUGCGAAAGCAUUUGCCAAGGAUGUUUUCAUUAAUCAAGAACGAAAGUUAGGGGAUCGAAGACGAUCAGAUACCGUCGUAGUCUUAACCAUAAACUAUGCCGACUAGGGAUCGGAUGAUGUUAAUUUUUAAUGUACUCAUUCGGCGCCUUAC
rnacentral:sRNA from 1 species